rnacentral:snRNA from 1 species
GUGUUUUCUUUGGUAUCACAUAUAUUAAAUAAUUGGAAUAAUACUGCUUAAAUAAUAACAAGAUCAGCAUGGCACCGGCCCAAGGAUGAUGCACACAUUUGUGAAGUCUUCCAUAUUUUU